GUUUUCAAAACAUUUUGGUUUUUAAAAAUAAUUUACAUUAAAGGUUUUGUUUCAAAUUGGUCUUUUCCCAAAAUAUUUUGACUACAAUGAGGUUUCCAGAAUAUUUUUGCUUGAAAAAUUUUGUAGCUACAAAGUUAAUUUUUAAAAUGUUUAGGUUUCAAACUGUCUUGAAUUUAGAAUGGUUUGGAUUUCUAAAAGGUUUGGUUGAAAAAUGUUUUGACUCCAAAAUGUGUUUUUUUUUUUAAACAUAUUCUUUUGGAUAUGCUUUGGUAGUUGGGUAAUGAUAAGAUACUGAAAUGAAUAAAAUAUCUCAAACUUUGUGUAGCUUAUCUUUUGCUGUUGCUAGCGUACAUGUAUGUGUGCAUGUAUUAGAGUGCUCAAGUACUACACCAAAACAAAACAAUCUUUGCCUUCAAGGAGUUUAUAUUAUUGGUAAGUGGGUCUUCCAUUCUCAGAGAUAACCUAAUUUCUUUUUCUCAGGAAAACAAUCAGCUUCCUUAUGGAAGGAUGAUGGAUUAUCUUUUGUAUACAAUAAUUUCAGAAGGUACUCUUUGUUUAGAGGAUCCCAUCUCAAUUUUAUUGAGAAAAUAAUACCUGUGAUAAUUGGAUGUGAACUUAGAGCAGAGCUGAGGUUAAUCUAUCCCUAUUAUGUCCCUUUCACAAUGGCUGAAGUUGUGGAGUCUAGCUGGUUAGUAAUAUCUUUAAUGGAAAUAUGCCUUGUUUUUAAUAGACAUCUCAUGCAUUAUAUAAAAAAAGUAUACACAGAAAGCUUUCAUAUUUUCUAACCUUUGCCUGAACACUUUGUUUACAGUGGCAUGAGAGUUUGUCAGUAUGAGACUGUUUAUGAGUGGGUACUAUUAGUAGGUAUUUCUCUAGCCACAGUAGGUUACAUGUGACUUUGUAUAUGUGUUUUUUUUCAAUUGGAAUAAACUCGGGGGACACAGCAGACAGUCAUCCAAAAACAUCCAUAAGUGGCUAUAAAAAUAUCUGAGAUAUAUGUUUUAAUAGGGGGAAAGGGACAGAUUAAAUAUCUAAUUUGUAAUUGACCCAAUAUAUAGCCCUGUUAUGUGUUUAUGAUAGUUUAAUGCAAAAUCCAAGCUUCACAAAUGUUUUUCUUUAACCUUUUUUUUUCUUCUCACUCAAUUUUUGGGUUGGAGAUAUAAGUAUACAAAUUAGAACUUUACCCCUUUUUCUGCAUCUUUUUCUAUAAAAACCCUUCUUAGGUAGGGGGAGAGGAAGGGGCAUAUUCAGAAAUGAUGGUUAUGUGAAAACAAAAGAUUUUUAACUUAUGGACUUAUGAUUUUAGUAGUAAAGAACUCUCAAGUAAGGAAACCUUUUCUAACCAAUUCAAGUCAGAAAUAGCCAAUAUAUGUCAGAAGUGGAGAUCCACUUCUUCUUGGCCUACUCUUUAUACAUUAUGACAUAUUAACAAACAUUUUUUCAAAAAGAUUUAUUUAUAUAUGAUCUCCCUCAUUAGAACGUAAUUAGAAUUAAAAGGAACUUCAGUGAACAUCUUGUCCAUCUCUUCACUUCAUGCCUCUCUUGAUCUUUGUUGAAAAGAAGCCUGUAAUUAUCCCAUUCUAGAGCAAGAAUGAGAUUCUAUUUCCAGGUUUGAUUUAGUUUCUUACUUGCUCAUGGUCUAGUGACCAAAACUUUUUCAAAGGUUAAUUUAGGGGUGGAGUGGAGAGAGAUAAAAGGAUGAGCAAAAUAUGUGAGAGGUAGUAUGUUGUGUUCGAAAGAGCAAUGGAGUCUGAAGACUUGUUUUUAAAUCUCAGCUAUGCCACUUAAUGAGUUACUUCAGGUAAAUCAUUUAACUUUUCUGAUCAUCAAUUUUCUCAUGUGAAAAGUGAGGGAGAUUGGAAUAAAAUAUUUCCAAGGUAUUUUCCUGCUCUAAAUCUUGGAUCCUAUCAACUUACUUGAGUUUUUAGAGGUUUCUUCCUCCCCAAAAUGAUUUUUGUUCUUUCUCUCUAGGAAAAUGAAAUAAAUGACACAGUUAUUAAUAUUGUGCAUCUGAGUCUGAUUGGUAGUCAUUGCCUUAGCCAGAUCUUUUUCUUGUCUGAUGAGGAGGGAUCAGAACAAACCAAUCUUAGUCUCCUUCGAGGUUUCUGAUGACUUAAGGGCACAAGGAAGGUGAAAAGCCAUCUUUCUGUGUCCCAAAGAUCCUAAUGCUGCCCAGUUCAUAGCAGUCAGGCAAAUCAGGUGUUUUGAGUCCUAUUCUGGCAUAAAAUAAUGAACAGCAACCUUUCUAAUCACCCGUCUUCAUCAGCAGAUCUUCAUGUUAUUCUUUCUGGAUUCAUUCUUCUAUGGUUAGCAUACUUUUACCUCCUUCCCUUACUAUGCCUUUGAUACUGACCUAUUAAGCUGCCUAAGAAUAAACCUUCCUCCCCAUCCUCAUCUGUCUGUUACCUCAUUAUCAUUCUCUUUAACUUUUUCUCAACAGUAUUUUAUUUUUCCAAAUAUGUGUAAAGAUAAUUUUCAAUAUUCAU
rnacentral:lncRNA from 1 species